rnacentral:misc_RNA from 1 species
AUUCAGAAGGAAUCUACCCUUCACUUGGUUCUGCGUCUGCAUGGUAGAAUGCUGAUUUUUGUCAAGACAUUGACUGGCAAAACCAUCACCUUGGAGGUUGAAAUUUCUGAUUCAAUUGAUAAUGUGAAGGCCAAAAUCCAGGAUAAGGAGGGGAUUCCACCAGAUCAGCGGAGGCUGAUCUUUGCUGGUAAGCAGUUGGAGAAUGGACGCACCUUCGCUGAUUGCAACAUCCAGAAGGAAUCAACUCUGCACCUUGUCCUUCGCCUCCAUGGUGGUUUUUAAGUUUGUCAUUUGCUUUCUGGUUGGUUGUUAUAUGUCUCUUUGGUUCUAUAUCUGUUUUGUAUUCUCGAUUUGUGAUUGCAAGACAUGUAGAUUGGCAAACUCUUGGAAGUAUUGUUUGGCUUAUGUUCUGUGACACUACUAAGGUUAAGAAAUUUGUGUGCUGUUGCAGUGUAGUUUUCUUGGAAUAAAGUAUUUAUGGUUUAUAUAUUCAACACGUACUGUUUUGUUGGUA